rnacentral:rRNA from 1 species
GGGGAAUUUUCCGCAAUGGGCGAAAGCUUGACGGAGCAAUACCGCGUGAGGGAGGACGGCUUUUGGGUUGUAAACCUCUUUUAUCAGGGAAGAAUCGAUGACGGUACCUGAUGAAUCAGCAUCGGCUAACUCCGUGCCAGCAGCCGCGGUAAUACGGAGGAUGCAAGCGUUAUCCGGAAUUAUUGGGCGUAAAGCGUCCGUAGGUGGUUUAUCAAGUCUGCUGUCAAAGCGUGCGGCUUAACCGCAUAAGGGCAGUGGAAACUGAUGAACUAGAGUGCGAUAGGGGUAACAGGAAUUCCCAGUGUAGCGGUGAAAUGCGUAGAUAUUGGGAAGAACACCAGCGGCGAAAGCGUGUUACUGGGUCUGCACUGACACUGAGGGACGAAAGCUAGGGGAGCGAAAGGGAUUAGAUACCCCUGUAGUCCUAGCCGUAAACGAUGACAACUAGGCGUGGUUCGUAUCGACCCGAGCCGUGCCGUAGCCAACGCGUUAAGUUGUCCGCCUGGGGAGUACGCACGCAAGUGUGAAACUCAAAGGAAUUGACGGGGGCCCGCACAAGCGGUGGAGUAUGUGGUUUAAUUCGAUGCAACGCGAAGAACCUUACCAAGGCUUGACAUCCUCGGAACCCUGAUGAAAGUUAGGGGUGCCUUCGGGAGCCGAGAGACAGGUGGUGCAUGGCUGUCGUCAGCUCGUGUCGUGAGAUGUUGGGUUAAGUCCCGCAACGAGCGCAACCCACGUUUUUAGUUGCCAGCAUUCAGUUGGGCACUCUAGAGAGACUGCCGGUGACAAACCGGAGGAAGGUGUGGAUGACGUCAAGUCAGCAUGCCCCAUACGCCUUGGGCUACACACGUACUACAAUGCGUCGGACAAAGAGCAGCCAGCCAGCGAUGGUGAGCCAAUCUCAUAAACCGACGCUCAGUUCAGAUUGCAGGCUGCAACUCGCCUGCAUGAAGGCGGAAUCGCUAGUAAUCGCAGGUCAGCAUACUGCGGUGAAUACGUUCCCGGGCCUUGUACACACCGCCCGUCACACCAUGGGAGUUGGUCACGCCCGAAGUCGUUACUCUAACUGCUUGCAGAGGAGGACGCCGAAGGUGGGGCUGAUGACUGGGGUGAAGUCGUAACAAGGUAGCCGUACCGGAAGGUGUGGCUGGAUCACCUCCU